rnacentral:rRNA from 1 species
AACGAACGCUGGCGGCGCGCCUAAUACAUGCAAGUCGAACGAGAAGGUGUAGCAAUACACUUGUACAGUGGCGAACGGGUGAGGAAUGCAUGGGCAACCUACCCUCGAGUGGGGAAUAACCAGCCGAAAGGUUGGCUAAUACCGCGUACGCUUCCGGGUCUCCGGAUCCGGAAGGAAAGUCACACCGUGGGUGUGACGCUCAAGGAUGGGCUCAUGUCCUAUCAGCUUGUUGGGAGGUAACGGCUCACCAAGGCAACGACGGGUAGCUGGUCUGAGAGGACGAUCAGCCACACUGGCACUGCGACACGGGCCGGACUCCUACGGGAGGCAGCAGUAAGGAAUAUUGCGCAAUGGGCGAAAGCCUGACGCAGCGACGCCGCGUGGGGGAUGAAGGUCUUCGGAUUGUAAACCCC